CACUGUCCGGGCGUUCCGGCGAUGAGAGCGUGUGACUGCUAGGUCGGCCCAGCAGGAGGACGUGAAGAAGAGGAAGAGGGAGGACGUUGCCCCAGCCACAUAGAUGGCGUCCGUCCAGGGGUUGUAGUAGUUGUGGCCCAUGGUCCAUGGAUGAGUUGGGGGCACCAAAGGUGUGGCUGCUGCCACCAGGAGUGUGUCCACCAUCGCGCUUGCCGCGUUUCCAGCACUGCUGCGAAGAUCCAGAGCCGCCACCCGAGCCACCACUGGGGUGCUGCUGAUGUGGGCGCUGGGGCGGCGCUGGAGAGUUGCGAGGAGCAAGCGUGGACGAGGUGGGAGGCUUGGUAUUGCUGGAGCCACCAUUUUCAGGGAGGCAGCAAGAGCUGCAGCUGGUGUAGCUUUCGCCAUGGUAAGUUGACCCGUUUACACAAGGACUAGCCCCGAAAUAGUGGGUAUGCAAGUAAAUACACAAGGAUUAACCCCGAAACUCUUAACAAUACUUUAACACAAGCCAUGGCUCAGGUGGUCUAGGGCUCAAAUCCGCCUCUGGCUGUAGCACAAUUACCUCCUGAUGAUUUGUAUUUCUGCAAAACAUAGAUGCUCAUCUAAUCAGCUAUCAAGGAUAACCGGCCGAUAUGGUUGCAAACUUGCAUUGCUGUUUGAAUCCAGCUCAAAAGGCUAGAUCCUAGAACAGGUAGACCUAAGGCUGUUUGCAGCAGAUCACACAUAUUGUCGUGUAAAACACUGUUUUUGUAAAAUACUGUUUUACAGGCUACAUUGUUUACGGAGUGGAGUUUAAAAUAAGAGAUGUUAGACCGUAGAUUACACUGUUUAUAAAGUGGAGUUUAAAAUAAGAGAUGUGAUAUGAGAGACCGUUGAAGAUAGCUUUAACAAAAGUUCCCCUUAUGCUGUGUGGUAUUUUCUGUAAAAUAUUAAUGUAAUAUCUAGCCGUUUUUUGUAAAAAAAAUGGAAGUUGUGAGUAUGUAUCCUAUACUUCACAAAGAAGUCCUUGCAACUUACUAUAAUUUCAAUAGAGAUUUGUAGUGACUGUAGUGAAAGAUAUUGCCCUUUUAGCAACUCUCCCAUUAGCACAAGCACUUUUGACUGAACCAGUGUGACUGUGAGCAUGUAUCCUGCACACCACUACUGAAAAAUUCAAUGUAGAUUCAGGCAUGCAGCUAUCCCUUUAUCCAUGUUAAUGUCAGCACACAAUAAUAAGGGAAAAAUGCUUCUAGAGCCCUUAUGUCAGUCCCCACCCACCUGAGAUGAACCUGUUCCUAGUGGUUGAUACGGAAGGUGUCAACAUAGAGUAAACAACAAAGACGCAUUCGGCAUGAGGGCUCUUAAUAAUACCCUUCAUCUCUUAUUCUUUUUUUAGAUCAAGGUUUAACCCUGCUUUUAGAAAGCAAGUGAUCCAUACCUUCACAUCUUAUUCUCCUCAAUUAGAAUAGAUUGUACGCAUGCUCAGUGCUGGAUAUCCAUGCUUUGCCUCUUGUUUCUUUUCUGAAAGUUAGGACCACCAGGCCCUUCUCUUGAAAGUGAAGUUUGGUAGUUGUGAUAUAGCAUCUAGUAACUGGUUUUGGUUCUUGGAUCAUAUUAGUUAGGAUGGUUUUUUUGUGACCAUAUUCUCCAUAUUUACGUUGACAUUUCAUCAGGUAUCAUUUAGCUCCACACGUUUUCUUGGUGCUGGAUACAAAUGGGCAUUUUGGUAACAGUUUGCUGUCUUCCAAGAAGGGCUUUUGUCUAAUUAGCUAUUAGCCAAAUGCAUUAUAAAAAGAGCUUGUUGUUCUGUUCUCAGUUUCCUUUUGAUGAAGAUUGUAUUUAAAACCAACUACAGGUACCAGUCUCUGGCGGCUAAUGGUGGUAGUUUAUAGAUCAUAAUAAAAGCUUCAUCCCGUCCAACCUUUUAAUUUAAUUGAGGCACCAAUAAAUGCGGCUAAUGCUGCAAGUUUGUUGCCUUAUUAGGCUCUUUGCUUUCUGAUUGCUGAGAAUUGGAAACAAGAUACUCUGUUAUUGAAUCUGCCAGAGAUUAUCACCUUUGCAAAUGUACAUAGCUAUAUUAGCUGCAAAUAAUUUUAAAAACUAUGCUCGCUUGAGCCAAAGCGGCACCUGCCGCUGCAGCUGUGGCUGCGAGCCACUCAACGGAACACUGUGGAAUGGCUGCAGCGACCGUUUGUGUUUUUCAGCUGUAGAUAGAAUCCGUGCCCGUACAAUGUUUUUUCGAAGAUUGGAAAGGUAGAAUAAGGAUUAGUGUGCAAAGGUGAUGAUAAGUUACAGGCUUGCUGCUCAUUGUGAUUCUGUCAUGACUUCAUGAUAAUAAGUUAGUCUUGCUGCCCAUUGUGUUUACGUUUUAAAACCUUAAAUUAGGAGUUGUAGUGAAAAUUACUUGGCUAAAGUUAUUUUCUGUUGCUAUUUUUUUUUGCCAAUGCCGCUUAUGUACAUUUGUGUUUGUGGCGAAGUGAUGUCAAUUACAGCAUUUUGUCAUCCGUUUGAAGCUGAUCCGCAGGAGGAAUGAUUUCCUUGUUACAUGGUUAUUUUUCUUCAGAGCAGUAUUAAUUAAUUUGUAUGCUGUAUGUUCUGGCUUCGGUUGGAGAGCUGAGAGCUCCAAGAUAAAAGGCUCUCCAGUUGCGACGGGGUGUCCAGACACUCCUUUCCUUGUAUCCUCUGAUCCACAUCCUACGUGCUACAGUCUAGAAGCACUUGAUUGCAGCCUUGAAACUUCCCUGGCGCACCAACGCGACGCCAUGGCCGCAAUGGUAAGGUCUUUGUACCUGUGCAGACUGCAGACCGCAGUCUUUUCCACAGUAUGUCUCACAACAGAUGCAUGUGCAGCCCUACAUACCACAACUUUGCACCGACCCACUGAAGGUUAAAGACUACGAAUUGUUAUAAGGUAGGCACACGCAUCACUGGAAAUCGCGUGGCCCAUCUCCACUUGUGAAGGCAAUGCCGGUAUAGUAACCGUUUUCCUUCUGAAAGACAGAUCACGCCAAUACAUGUAUGGGUUAUUUUUCUUUACAAAAAGGAAGGCUCUCGUCAACUAUUAUCACUACUAACAGCAUCUUGUACUUUAUAAUCUUGUUGUGCCAUUGUUUGUUCACUGUAAACGCGACAGCGAUGUCCUGCAAAAAACUGUCGAGUGUCGACAAACUGACAGGUUGUGACCUGUUUCUCUUCCUGGCGAAAAUGUACUUUAUUUUGUAUGUGCGUGCGGUUGGCGAGACCUCGAGAGCACGCGCGUGCUUGCAUAGAAACAUAUAUGCGCAUGGCGGCAUGGGCGUUGGAGAAGGGACUGCCGGACAGCGAGAGAGAUCCCACCGGUUGCAUUAUUCAGGUACCUUUCACAUGCAUGGACCAUUAGAUUAUCAUUCAUCACCAUAAUCAUUUGCCAUCUAAACAUUCCUAGGCAUUGGCUUCAUCACACAAGUCUUUUGUUCACCUGGUCUCCAAAGACUGAGGGGUUUACUUUUCACGAGGCUACAUCAUAUAUUUUGCCAUUUGUUUUAUUUUUAGUUUCUUUUUUUUUUAAAUAUAUUCAUAUUUAUACCUUUGGUCAUCUUAAAUCGGUUUUUUAAGGUC